rnacentral:lncRNA from 1 species
CUGGCACCGGCCCCGGCCGCUCUCCCUGCCUCGCCAGAACAGGAGAACCCUCCCCCGCCGACGCUGGAGACACUCGGCUUUGUAUCUGCAGCAUCAGCGAGAAAGCCCGGCUCGGCGCAGGCUCAGUGUUCACCGCCGCAGUCCCGGACGGAGGAGGGGGGCUUGGGAGCGCAGCGUCUUCGCAGCGGGUUAAGUAGGAUUAAUACCAAAUCCCUAUUAUAUUUGCGAAGCAACUUGAAUUUAUCAAAAUUCCCCCUCGCUGUUCUGGAGCUCCGAGAGGAGGAAAUUUUGCCCACAGUGUAAGAUCCAGACAUACCAGUACGUAGGAAUACCAGCAUACUGCAUUACACUGGCUCCCUGCACUAGCAAUACAAUUGCAACCUGAAGCUCCCGCUGUUGCCUUCCCUUUUGUGCUUUUAAACGCAAACAGGAAACUUAAUGUAUUCGCCAGGGGAGGGGCGGGAUGAAAGCGUUUUUAACCUCCCCGCCAUAAACUUUAAUCAGACUCCGGGCUGUUGCACGGCACGGACACCUCGUCUCUUGUCUGCGUCUCCUUCCCCGUUGUCUCCCAUGUCUACUUCUACUACGGUCUGCUUCGCGAGAUCCUCUUUCAAGCCAAUGAGUGAUCUCUUUCUCUUGCCAUGUGCAAUUGCUCCCCCCUUCUCUUCCUAUCCUCGCUGGCCUCUCUUACACACACUGUGCCUUUCACACGCGGUCUGCGCUCCCCCAGCCCCCCCUCCCUUUUUUUCUUUUUUGCAGUGUCUUCACAUGCAACAUCUCUCUGAAUGUGCAAUGUCUUUCCUGCUCGGGAGUGCUGCGUCCUUCACAGUGGAUUGGUUCCUCUUUCGGAACAGAGAUACUGCAGACACCAGAGAAAGAAAGAGGAGAAAGGUUAUUUCCUUUACUUUCUUAUCCUUAUUCGUACAGCAUAUCUGGAGAUCUUGAAGACUGAACUGUUGAGGAUUCGCAGCUGGAAUCAAAAUGAGAUCUGUUUUGAACAUGUGAAGUACCAGGUAAUAAAAGGCACUCUGAAAUUCAUGUAAUGAGUAUCAGAUUUGAUUAUCCUAAAUUUAUAGAUACUUAUUAAAUUUUAUGUUUCUUUUCCCCACCCGACAACUAUCCCUGACUUUCCAUUGUCUCAUAGAGGUUUUGUGAAAUUGUACUGAAACAUAUCCAUGAAACAUUCCAUAAAUUCAGAAAAGCCAAUACAUAAAUAAAUAAUUCUCUCUUCUGAAAAAAUAAAAUAAAUAAAUAAAAAUGAUUCGUAAAUAAAUCAAAUUGAGAUACA